GCAAGUCGAACGAGAAAGUCUUUGCUUGCAAAGACGAGUAGAGUGGCGCACGGGUGAGUAACACGUAGAUAAUCUACCUUCAAACCUGGAAUAACUGUUCGAAAGAGCAGCUAAUACCGGAUAAAGUUUAUUGACAUAAGUUGAUAAAUGAAAGAUUGCCUCUUCUUGAAAGCAAUUGUUUGGAGAUGAGUCUGCGGACCAUUAGUUUGUUGGUGGGGUAAAGGCCUACCAAGACUGCGAUGGUUAGCUGGUCUGAGAGGAUGAUC
rnacentral:rRNA from 1 species